rnacentral:rRNA from 1 species
UACGUAGGGCGCAAGCGUUUGUCCGGAAUUAUUGGGCGUAAAGAGCUCGUAGGCGGUUUGUCGCGUCUGCUGUGAAAACCUAAGGCUCAACCUUGGGCUUGCAGUGGGUACGGGCAGACUAGAGUGCGGUAGGGGGUGACUGGAAUUCCUGGUGUAGCGGUGGAAUGCGCAGAUAUCAGGAGGAACACCGAUGGCGAAGGCAGGUCACUGGGCCGCAAC